ensembl:lncRNA
ACCCUUUAAAAAUAUAAACAACACUCUAACUCCCCAACUAUAAAACACAGGCGAUGCUUGCUAUAGCUUGCCCAUUUCUAUUCUAGUCCUUAAUGAGAAAAAAGGUAAAUAAAGCUCAAUUUCAUGAAUGCAUAUAUCAUCAUAGUAACUUCAAAGUGCUAGCCGGAUAUUUGGUUCAACAUGGUCUUCACCAUAAUGCUUUUUGGUAUCUGAAAUUAUCACUGAAUGGUGUUUGGUCAAUUAAUGCAGCAAGUAUUAAAUAUACUCACACUUUAUACCUUGGGGGAAAAGAAACUCUGUUAUAAAGUAAGAAUAACUUACACUGGGAUUUAAGUUUAUUACUACAUAGGUACACUAAUCAUACGCUCAUGUGUAUGAUUUUAUAGUUUUACAUGUAACAUCCUGCAUCUCAAAUGGCUCCUAAAACUUGCUACUGUAGUUCUAGUAACAUUAACAGAACUUACUUUAUGAAAAUAUUCUCAAAGAUUUAAAAAAAUAAAUACAUUAAGGUUAAAUUUAUCGAACUGCUUCGUUUACUUGGUAGUCUACCGCGGGAGUGAGUUAUACAUCCAAAUAAUGUAUGCUAUUUGUCACCUACCUAUCCAGUUCCUCAUUUCACUCAUGUUUUGUGGGACAGAACCAAUUUGGAGUAUUGUAUUCAAUUCUAGGAGCCCAGAGGACAAAAAGAGUGACCAAAGAUAUAAUAAACUGCUCCAAGAUCACUGUGGCUACUUAAACAGAGGUCAGUCACUUGUUGGGCAAACUAAUGCAUGCAUUAAAGACAGACAGCACUGGAAACCUCACACGGUUUUAGGCUAAUCUUAAAUUCUACAUCUCCACUAAUAUGUUAAGCUUAUGCUGAAUGGAGCAAGACUGCAUUGUGGUAGCCCACAAAUAUACCUGCUCUCUUGAGAUACAGUGUUUCAGAAAAAUUUUAAUGGAGUGUUCUUGUUCAUGUAAUUGGCACUUGUGUAAAUUCAUGUUCUAGAAAUAACGAUAUUCUAUUCUUCAUAGUGAUAACUGUAGGUGAGUCCCUAGGAGCAACAGAAAUCAUAAAUGAUAAACAACAAAGAAUGAAGGCCAAGUUCUCCUUAAGACCCAUAACUCCAUCCUCAUCUCUACCCUUGGGUGCUUAUAUAGGACAUUAUUUAUAAUUGUAGCCACUCAUAAAUUAUUCCUCACUGCCUCUUUGAACAUGAAGAAUGAUUAACAUCAUAGUGGAACAUUGGAAAGACUAUAUUCCAUAUCUCAUUUGUCUCUUCAAUCAUGAAUUUAUUAGGCAGGAGGUGUUAAAAUACAGUCAUCUUAAAAUAAUUUCUUCCCAUCUCACCCUACAUUUAUUUUACCCAUAUAUUCUUAAAUGCAAUAGUGUUGUCUUUUGUCUUUCUGGUUAAAGAAUCCCAUAGCUAAUGUGUUGGUUUUCAGUUUGAGGCAAAUUUAUGCUUUAUUCUAUGCUAUACUGUAUAUAAAUAGUGAUGCCUAUGAAUGGAUGAAUGCAACUCCCACCACCCCUACCUAGUAUCCAGUGAAACACCAAGGCAAUUAGCUUGGCAGAAUCAGCAGGGGAAGACUUGGCUGGGCUUAAUUUUGAUAUAGGGUAAAUUAAAUUUUACAUUUCUUUCUUUCUUUUUUUUUUUUUUUUUUGUCUUUUUGCCAUUUCUUGGGCUGCUCCCUCGGCAUAUGGAGGUUCCCAGGAUAACAAGACUUGACCCUUAUCUACUACAGAAAAAUGGGCCAGUCCAUCAGAAUAUUCUGAAUCACUUAGAAAACAAUUUAUAUUGCUGUUCUGAUGAAACCUUCAAGGAAAAAUAAAAAUGCAAGAGAUGGUCCACUCCAAAAGUACGUCGAAAUUUCUCAGGCUGUAGAAAUCUAACAAUACAGUGAUUCCCCAAAAAAGAAAUGGAAACAAAACAAAACAAAACAAAACAACAACAAAAAAAACCCUGUCUUGGCAUUGUAGCUUUAUAUAGACAUUUUAGUGAAAUGCUUCAUGCUAUACAUCUAAGUGUUUAUCAAAAUAGCUUUUGCAUGGAAAAUACCUGAGAAUGAGAGGUUUGUGAAAAAUGCGGAUUCUGGGGUCACACUAAGGAGUUCAACAUAUGGGUCUUCAAGAAUUGCUAUAUUCUAAGAAAUUAAUACAUCAGCUCUUGUUUUGAGGAACUCUGGGUGGAGCCCAGGAAUGUAUAGUUAAUAAGCUUCCCAGAUAAUUAUGGUAGUCAAAUUGGCUUGGAACCACUGACUUGUAUUUUAACAUGACUGUAAUAGGGAAACUAACUUUUAAAAAUGGAUUUUUUUAAAAAAGGCUUGGUAGCUAUGACUGUAAACCCAGGCAUAAGAAUUUGCCUUCUGGAGUUCCCUGGUGGUCCGGAGGUUAAGCAUCCAGCACUGUCACUGCCUGUAGUGCAGGUUCAAUCGCUGGCCUGGGAGCUUGGGCAUGCUGCAAGUCGGGGUUGGGAGACUGCCUUCAAUGAAAAAUCAAUAAAGUACUUAGAAAUGGAUGACAAACUAAGUUCUGCCCUGAGAGUUAAAUAUGUGAUGAUCUUUCUACCAGUUAUUUAUGUGGCACUGUACCUUCAACUUAACACUUUGGAAAAGAAAUUUGGUAUAUGUGUAAUUGAAUGUAUCAACUUAUUUUGUGUUGCAAAUUUUAGUAGUCUUUCUCUCUCUCUCUCUUUUUUUUUUUUUUGCUUUUUAGUGCUGUGCCUGUGGCAUAUGGAAGUUACAAGCUUCAGCUGCUGGCC